UACGGAGGUGGCAAGCGUUGUUCGGAUUUACUGGGUGUAAAGGGCAUGUAGGUGGUUGGAUAAGUCCCAAUUGAAAUCCUUCGGCUUAACCGAAGAAGUGGUUGGGAAACUGUCUAGCUUGAGUUCAGGAGAGGAGAAUGGAAUUCCCGGUGUAAAGGUGAAAUUUGUAGAGAUCGGGAGGAACACCUGUGGCGAAGGCGAUUCUCUGGCCUGAAACUGACACUGAAAUGCGAAAGCUACGGGAGCAAACAGGAUUAGAUACCCGAGUA
rnacentral:rRNA from 1 species